UACGGGGGGAGCAAGCGUUGUUCGGAUUUACUGGGCGUAAAGGGCGCGUAGGCGGCCACCGCAAGUCGACUGUGAAAUCUCCGGGCUUAACUCGGAAAGGUCAACUGAUACUGCGGGGCUAGAGUGCGGAAGGGGCAACUGGAAUUCUCGGUGUAGCGGUGAAAUGCGUAGAUAUCGAGAGGAACACCUGCGGCGAAGGCGGGUUGCUGGGCCGACACUGACGCUGAGGCGCGAAAGCCAGGGGAGCGAACGGG
rnacentral:rRNA from 1 species